AUAUAGACUAUUCGUAUAUUAACACGCUUUCCCUUGAAAUGUAACACUAAUGAUGUGCUCAAAAUGUCACUUUUUUGAAAACUAAAAAGAAAGAUGUCGGCAAGUGAAGUAAAAUGCCAGUGGAGAACCUUUUUCAUCGUAAAGCAACAGGUGCUCAGUGAGGAAAAAUAACAAACUGGAAUCUAAAAUGCCAAGUAUCUUUUUCUAAAGAAUCCCAAUACUGAGUCAAUAUAUGCAGUAUAAAUGUCAAUUACCAAGAAAUGUCUGUAACGUUCAGAUGCACAGACACAGAGGGAAGGUUGCACUUCUUUUGUCUAAAUGGAGAGGACUUACACAACGAUGCCUUUGCCUUUUUCACACUACAGUAUUGUAUGAGCUUGAACAACAGUGCCUUUAUUUAUUUGAGAGCGAUGGAACAAUGUUACACCUAAAUCUUUUACAACUACAACGUGGGUUUGUGCCUAGCGUGAAAAUAUAUCCUUUGGGGUUUAUGCAGAUUCAUUGUCAUCAUCUACUUUACAUCCAUAACUCUUCUCAAUUCAGAUUUUAGUGCCAAAAAACAAAACAAAGAAGUGGCUCAUUUGAAUUGGAAGUGCAAUGCAGUAUUAAAGCAGCAGCUACGAUGUCCGAAAUGUUUAUGUGUGAGGUUCGGAUACCUCGAGAGAAUAGUGAUAUAUUUUAUCUUUUUGUUUGUUUGAUUGUUUUUGUUGGAGAUGAAGUCGUCCAUAUCUAUAUUUCUGCAUGUGUAUCCGCUUUUUCAGAAGGCGUGGUACAGUUACACACACAUAUACACACAAACCAACGGAUGCCUUGACAUAAAAAAAAGAAAAAAAUCAUAGAGCCGUAACAUCUGUAACAAGUUUAUAAUGUAUUUUUAUAUUCUAUUUUGUACGUGAAAAUAACAUUAAAUGACCUUUUCAGAUAAGAACAUUAUGCCUUAUUACGGAGAGUGAUUUUAUGAGUAUAACUAUCCUUCAUGUGUCAUUAGGAAUCAAUGUCCUGAUAAACUGGAGUCUGAUGUCCUCUGUAUUAACUUGAGAUCGACAUUGCUUGCCUGUUGUGCCUUUUGUAUACUAUGAGUGUGACAAUUAACAGUGUAGUACAACAUUAAUCUACUCUUCAAGUGUAGGUUACUAACGGUUACCACUUCUGUGAUUAUUAACCACUUUAAUGGUAUCUGUCUCUGCUUUGGAUUCCUUUAAAAAA